rnacentral:rRNA from 1 species
UAAGACGAACCACACAAACGUUAUUCGGAAUUACUGGGCUUAAAGGGUGCGUAGGCUGCGCAGAAAGUUGGGUGUGAAAUCCCUCGGCUCAACCGAGGAACUGCGCCCAAUACUACUGUGCUCGAGGGAGACAGAGGUGAGCGGAACUUAGGGUGGAGCGGUGAAAUGCGUUGAUAUCCUAAGGAACACCCGUGGCGAAAGCGGCUCACUGGGUCUCUUCUGACGCUGAGGCACGAAAGCUAGGGUAGCGAACGGGAUUAGAUACCCCGGUAGUCCUAGCUGUAAACGAUGAGCACUGGAUUGGAGGGUCCUCCAUAGCCUUCCAGUCGCAGCGAAAGUGUUAAGUGCUCCGCCUGGGGAGUAUGGUCGCAAGGCUG